CCUCUCUUUUCCCUCUCUAAAAAGACGCCUCCCUAAGCCGCUGCUCCGCUGUCCCAGUCACCGGAAUGCCACCGACGCCGGCAGCCUCCAACACCUCCACAUUUUCUCUCUCCACUCUUUCUUCCACGCUAAACCAGCACAACCAUCCUAUUUUCGGCCAGCCUUACUGCCGGUGACCCCACUACCAGCCACCGAAAAGCCGCCGUCUCCCCGCUCAUCGCUACCUUGCCUCGCUGGAAGUGAUGACCGGCGAAGCACCAUAACUCCCC
rnacentral:lncRNA from 1 species